GGGCAGUCGUGGACCACCAGCUUGACAUUCCCAAACGCGCUGGCCUGAUACUCGGUGAACACGGGACGUGCGACCGUACUGGUGGCGUUCAGCAACAAGCUGCUUUCGUCCCCCGAGACCAGCGGGCUUCUCCCCAGUGGAUUUCUUCUAGUGGAUUUCUUCUAAACUACAAGGCUGCAAUGCUGUCAAUUCUGUUUGGAGAAGCCAAGGACAAGCUGUCAGGUUGUGAGGUAGCCCUGGGAGAAGAAAGCCAACUACUACACCUUGAAAACACUCAAGCAGCCUAUGGAAAGGUUCACUUGGCAAGGAACUGAGGCUUGCAAGCAACCAUGUGGAAGAAUCUAUCAAGAUAUGUAGCUGCUCAAAAACCCUUAUUGGACAAUGAUAACUACAGAUUGGAUGAAUGAUAUAUAUACAGAAUAAUAGACGGUCUGCAGUGAAUAUACCCAGAAUUAUUUACCAAAUAAAAAAGCAGAAAGGGAAAUCAAAGACAAAUGUUCUUGUUGUAUCUGUUUUCAAGUUCUUAUUGAUUGAGCUCAUAAUGAAUUAAUUAUAUCAGUUAAUUAAUUAGGACAUGUCACAUGAGUUAGUAUUCACUAUGAUGGGUAAAGUAAAUAAAAAUAAAGUGCUUCAUAUGUAGGGGAAAAGUUUUCUUCCCAUAACGUGUGAUAAACAUUGUAUGUAUGUGUGUGUAUGUGUGUAUUUAUGUAUGUAAUGUGUCUUAUGUGUUCUGUAGUUACAUAUCAGUGGUUGACUUCAUGACGAAUUUGUUAAUGGUAAAAUUUUUCAUUCUAUCUGAA